rnacentral:rRNA from 1 species
UACGUAGGGGGCAAGCGUUGUCCGGAAUCAUUGGGCGUAAAGCGCGUGUAGGCGGUGUGUCAAGUCAGGCGUGAAAGCCCCGGGCUCAACCUGGGAACAGCGCUUGAGACUGGCACGCUCGAGUUCGGGAGAGGAUGGUGGAAUUCCCAGUGUAGAGGUGAAAUUCGUAGAUAUUGGGAAGAACACCGAUGGCGAAGGCAGCCAUCUGGACCGACACUGACGCUGAGGCGCGAAAGCGUGGGGAGCAAACAGGG